rnacentral:piRNA from 1 species
AGACAAAAUAGGGAUGGCUUGUUAGGGU